ACACCUAAUUCACUAUAACGCACUUAUUGUUUGAUAUAAAAACAUAAGCUGUAUGAUUAUACUAUUCAAGCCAUUUAGAACGUCACAUUAUUGACUAUUUAUUAAUUAGCCCUUUUAGCGAUUACGCUAUUAUUUCAAUCAGUAAUUUUCAAAAUUUGCUUUACUUGCUGUAUUUAAGACUAUAGAACCUCACCAACAAUUCAUCAAAUUGAACCACUGUUAUUGAGACACUCUCGAUU